AGAGUUUGAUCCUGGCUCAGGAUGAACGCUAGCGGCAGGCCUAAUACAUGCAAGCCGAACGGUAAUUUUGGUAGCAAUACUGAGACUAGAGUGGCGUAAGGGUGCGUAACACGUAUGCAAUCUACCCGCAACAGGAGGAUAGCUCCCCGAAAGGGGAAUUAACCCUCCAUGAGAUCACACGAGGGCAUCUGAGAGUGAUUAAAUCUGAGGAGGUUGUGGAUGAGCAUGCGACUGAUUAGCUAGUUGGUAGUGUAACGGACUACCAAGGCGAUGAUCAGUAGGGGAACUGAGAGGUUGAUCCCCCACACUGGCACUGAGAUACGGGCCAGACUCCUACGGGAGGCAGCAGUAGGGAAUAUUGGUCAAUGGGUGAGAGCCUGAACCAGCCAUGCCGCGUGCAGGAAGAAGGCCUUCUGGGUUGUAAACUGCUUUUGCCGGGGGAUAAAAGACCCUUGCGAGGGAAAUUGAAGGUACCUGGUGAAUAAGCCACGGCUAACUACGUGCCAGCAGCCGCGGUAAUACGUAGGUGGCAAGCGUUGUCCGGAUUUAUUGGGUUUAAAGGGUGCGUAGGCGGUUGAUUAAGUCAGUUGUGAAAUACGGCAGCUUAACUGUCGAGGUGCAAUUGAUACUGGUUGACUUGAGUACAGACGAGGUAGGCGGAAUUGACGGUGUAGCGGUGAAAUGCAUAGAUAUCGUCAAGAACACCGAUAGCGAAGGCAGCUUACUAGACUGUAACUGACGCUGAGGCACGAAAGUGUGGGGAUCAAACAGGAUUAGAUACCCCCGUAGUCC
rnacentral:rRNA from 1 species